AAAUUGAAGAGUUUGAUCAUGGCUCAGAUUGAACGCUGGCGGCAGGCCUAACACAUGCAAGUCGAGCGGUAGCACAGAGAGCUUGCUCUCGGGUGACGAGAGGCGGACGGGUGAGGAAUGUCUGGGAAA
rnacentral:rRNA from 1 species